rnacentral:rRNA from 1 species
UACGUAGGGUGCGAGCGUUAAUCGGAAUUACUGGGCGUAAAGCGUGCGUAGGCGGUUCGCUGUGUCCGAUGUGAAAGCCCCGGGCUUAACCUGGGAAUGGCAUUGGAAACUGGCGGGCUUGAGUGCGGCAGAGGGGGGUGGAAUUCCGCGUGUAGCAGUGAAAUGCGUAGAUAUGCGGAGGAACACCGAUGGCGAAGGCAGUCCCCUGGGCCUGCACUGACGCUCAUGCACGAAAGCGUGGGGAGCAAACAGG